rnacentral:rRNA from 1 species
UACGGAGGGGCCAGCGUUGCUCGGAAUUAUUGGGCGUAAAGGGCGCGUAGGCGGCUUGGUAAGUUUGAUGUGAAAUCCCAUGGCUUAACCAUGGAACUGCAUCUCAUACUGCCGAGCUAGAGUCUGGGAGAGGGAAGUGGAAUUCCCGGGUGUAGCGGUGAAAUGCGUAGAUAUCGGGAGGAACACCAGUGGCGAAGGCGGCUUCCUGGACCAGAACUGACGCUGAGGCGCGAAAGCUAGGGGAGCAAACAGGAUAGAUAC